rnacentral:lncRNA from 1 species
GAAAGUCACUACACUGCGUAAGAGAAGCCAAAUAAAAAAGUUCAUGCUGUGUACAGAGGGUGUUGAGAAUGCCUCCUACGUGACGGAAAGCAGAUCCGUGGUUCCCUGCAGACCGGCAGGAGCAGAUUCCAAAGGCACAGGAAGAAGCUUGCAGGCAGCUGCUCCCAACCCCAGCAACUUUGCUAUCUUAGAACGGAUCACCAGUGAAAGAGGGGAAGUUGCUACUGUGAUGAAUUCUGCCAUGUGGUACCAGACUGCUGCCCAGACCACAGUGUCCUCUGCAACCCUGCUUCUCAGAUGACCAAGAUGGUGCUGCCGAUGGUGUUGAGGACGGAGAACCCACCAAGCCCCGUUAGGAGCCACCUAGACUGGAUGCAGAGCACAGUUCAGCGACUUCUCCAAACCAGCCUCCCAGGAAUGCUGUUCUCUAUGGCCGUGAGGGGAAUCAAGAAGAGAGCCUGACUCCUCUCCUGAGGUCCCUUCCACACC